rnacentral:lncRNA from 1 species
GAUGAUCAACAUAAGCUUUUUUACAUGGCCAAAAGAAAUCCCAUGUUUUGAUGGUAAUAGCUUUAUCUCCUCUGCAGUUGAAUAAUCCCAUGCCUGGAGUAUUUUUAAAUACGCAGUGCGGGUGAAGGUUGUGGGUCAUAUCAUUCAAAUCCUUGUGUUAGAGUCAUUUUCCAAAGAGCCCUGCACACAUUCAACAAAAAAUAUAACUGUCGACACAGGGCGUAUGCAGGAACUGUUGUAAGAGGGGUUGAAAUUUAUAGAAAACCGGACUAAGUAACUUUAAUUAUCAUAUUUCUAUACAAGAAAUAGCCUUAGUCUAUUAAUGUCAUUUUUUCCCUAUACUUAGAGCAAAAUCAAGAACAUCACCGAUGUGCCAGAAGAUAAUCUUGCUGAAGUGGUGUCACUUUUUCCUAUACUUAACCGUCCUCACAAUAUUAAUAUAUAUAUUUAGUAAAAUUUUUGGAGACACUGCUUCAUCGAACGUGUGUUUGCUCUUUGUAUGCAUAACUAUUGUUCCAACUAAUCUGGAUUCGUAUUAUGCCGGAUCCUAUUAUAGGGGAAGCACCAAUAUAUCCAAAAGAAAAGAACUAAAAAGGGAAAAUACGCAUAUAAUAACAAAAAUCAAGAGUAUACUUGAUUUGUCAAAAGAUUAUAUAUUUGGAGAAGAAAGAGAGAACAAAUAUACUUAUCAAACUCCUUAGCUGCAUUGGAGCACUCCUUGAGAAA